CGAUUGUUUACAAAGAUGGCGGCCGCAACGGCAAGAAAGUACGCCAAUGAUAUGCUUCUUCUCCAUACGUUUGUCACUGGGGAUGAAGACAUCGAAAUUCUUCUUGCGAAUGCCUUAAGCGAAGUUCCGUGUGGUGUUGACUUAGGUUUUAAAAUUGACCUUGAAAGUCUGGACGAGCAAACUUACAUCGACCUGUUUAGAGUGUUGUUUGUCCAAAUGGUUUGAUAGCAAACUUAUAUGGCCCCAAUUGCUAGACAUCACCAUGAUGCCUUCAUGCUUCAAGAGAGUAAUUUAAUGCCCAGGCUUGAAGGAAAGUUCAGGGCUCCACAUAUAUCCAGCCUGUAUGGAGAUCUGGCCUACCCUCUCUGACAGCAUUUACUUACCCCUUAUAGAAGAGCAAUGCUAUCUCCAGCUCAAGAGUUGUUCAACAAAAGAAUGAGUUAAGUUUGGGAAUCCGUUGAAUGGGUAUUUGGGAAGGAUGUGCAGUAUUUUGCAUUUCUUGAUUUUAGGAAAAAUCUCAAAGUCCUUUUGAAACCAAUUGGAAAAUAAUAUGUUGUCGGCGUAUUUUGAUUAACUGCCAUACUUGUCUAUAAGGUAGUGUAACUUCAGAUUACUUUUCCUUGCCUCCCCCUGACCUACAUACAUACCUUAAUUGAUAAUUAAACUGACAAAUACAACUUUAACUCAAAAACUUUACCUACAUUUUUCAUGAAUUCUUAAAUUACAGAUAUCAAACUUUGAUAAGUUUCUGUACUCAGAUAAAAAGCCACUUCCAUAACUUUUUAACUUCUCUUACACAAGAAUGAAAUAUUCAACCCAACAUAAAAAGUCAACAAGAAGUCUCAU